AACGAACGCUGGCAGCAUGCCUAACACAUGCAAGUCGAACGAGACCUUCGGGUCUAGUGGCGCACGGGUGCGUAACGCGUGGGGACCUGCCCUUAGGUUCGGAAUAACUCCCCGAAAGGGGUGCUAAUACCGGAUAAUGUCUUCGGACCAAAGAUUUAUCGCCUUUGGAUGGGCCCGCGUUGGAUUAGCUAGUUGGUAGGGUAAAAGCCUACCAAGGCGACGAUCCAUAGCUGGUCUGAGAGGAUGAUCAGCCACACUGGGACUGAGACACGGCCCAGACUCCUACGGGAGGCAGCAGUGGGGAAUAUUGGACAAUGGGCGAAAGCCUGAUCCAGCAAUGCCGCGUGAGUGAUGAAGGCCUUAGGGUUGUAAAGCUCUUUUACCCGGGAUGAUAAUGACAGUACCGGGAGAAUAAGCGCCGGCUAACUCCGUG
rnacentral:rRNA from 1 species